CGACCAACCGCCGCCCCGCGCAGCCGGCGUUUGAAACUCGCAGCCCGGCAGAUGUGGCUGCCCCGGCGGCGCCCGCAAGCCCCGCCCCUAGUGCCGGGGAGCAGCCAAUCCGCGCCCGGCUGCCCUGGCAGUGCUCGCCACUAUUGGCCAGGCGCCCUUGUCGCUCAUAGCGCCCCCUCCCGGCUGCCCUGGCGCCCCCGUGGCUCUGUUGUCCCCCUCAGUCGGUCUUUUCAGAGUGAAAGGUUUUGUGUGUGGCUGUGUUCCUGGUUAUCUGUACAUCAUAACGCCAUAUAAACGUGUGGCACUGGGUGAAGGCAGAGCUCCACCCUGAGGACUUUGGAAUUUUAAUUACAUACAGGGAAUGGCUGAGGGUGGAGGAAGGGAGAUGGCAAGGUGAAGGUCACGGCAGUGCAGGAUCAUCAGCUCCCUUAAAGAUAUGCAAAGCAGAACAAAACCUUACCUGAGGAGCUUCAGUGUCCCAGAAAUCACAGGGAAAGAUCCACAUCUACAUGCUGUCUCUGCUACUGCAGCCUCCAGUCAUCAGCAGCACCUUCCUGCAGUGGGUGAUGGCUGUUGCACGAAGUACCUGCAGUUGUUUGCUUGGAGGAAGAGCAUGGAGAAUGUCAAAAACUGCUGAUUCCACACAUGUCUGAUUAUAGCAUUAAUCUGCCUGUCUUAGGAUGGUACUCCUGUACUUACCGACACCAAAUGUUGCUUCUCUCUGUAGGCAUAACAUCCAAAAGAAGAAACAACAAGAAACAGCAAAUAACACAAAACCCCUGCUACAUUACAGAGUUUAAUCCAUGCCCCAGACAUCUAUCAGAGCAUGUUUAGCUGAAGCAACCCCACUGAUCCCACGUGCUCAGCUACAACAUGAAAUACUCAAAGCUCACAAUGCAACAGACCCCUUGGAAUCAGCAUGUUACCUUUCACUGUUCCUGCAGUGUUUGAUUUUGAAAUCAUCUAAGCCUUGAAUACAAACACUCUCCCACCUCCAAGAAUUACCAUGAUUCUUAUUAAUACAGACCCCACUUGACCUCUUUUUUCCCCCAUGCCAAAAUCUCUGUAAGAGUGCCACAUUUGCAUGUGGGAAAUGAGUAAGAAAAGGCAAUCCUCAAAGCAUCAAGCAAACAAUCUGUAUUUCAGGGAUUGCUUAGCAGAGCUGUCUCAGAGUCACCUGGCACGAGCUUUGUACGAGCCCCAGUCCUCACACUGAGGGAAGAAUGUGGAGUUGCUCAACGCAUGGCGCCAGUUAUCAAUGAUCUGGGUGAAAGUGUCUUAGGAGUCUAAAAUUGAAAGUAUGAUUGAGGCUAUGAAAGGUGUUGUCAGAGCCCCUCCUUUCCCCGCAUAGCUCCCCUCUAAUGAUUUGGACUGGCUUGCAUCAUGUUUCUGCUAGAAGCAAGAGAUUGCAAAAUUACCAUCUAGAAAAGUUUUAAAAUAGUAGAAACAAGUUAGGUUCUAAAAAAAACACCCUUAUUAAAUAUUAGAUUCUAAAAAGUGUUCAUGAAAACCAUAGCAUAGGGGAAGUGACUCUGUGCCAUUCAGAAUCAAAAGUCCACCGGGCCUGUGCCCCAGGGAGACCAACACUCACCCAAGCACUGAAGAAAGACCAGGACCUCCCAGAGCAGCUGGUCUCACUGUAACCAAAGCAAGAGGAACUCUUCAGUGGAAGGCAAUGGCUUUUAUGAAAGACUGAAAAAUAUCCUUUUCCCUGAAGAUAUUUUGCUAUGAAAUUACAGUGCUGCGUAUUAAGCCACUGCCAUAAAGGAUGUUGCUGCCCAUUCUGGUACUCCAUUCAAAAGCAGAGAGCCCUUUGAGAGGUGUGGGCAUCUGCUGCAUGUCGAUUGUAGUUUAAUUUAGGAUAGACUUUGUUUUGAAUGCAGUUCUUGGUCAAGUUCCAUUGCAUUUGGUGAAGAAUCCUUCCUCCUCCUGCUGCAAGCGAUGAUUUGUAGUAUACCAGAUUCCAGAGGCUACCCGAAGUCACUUAGAAAAGGCGUCAUGAGAGCAUUUUGUGAUUUCUCUAACAGCUUUCAACCGCUGCAAGCCUUACGAUACAUUCAAAGACGCAGUAAAAGAGUUAACUUCCAAAGUGGAUUUUUUAAGAAGAUUUAUUUUAAGUGAUUUCAUGAUGAAACAUGGUCUUAAACAAAAUAGAGAUCAGUAGGAAAAUAAAAUUAUACACAGAAAUCUUUUCCCAAAAUGUUUUUGAAUAGCAGGAAAUACAACAGAGCAGUCCUGUAUUCAACCGAGUAGAUAAUUAUGCGUAUCUGUGAGCAGUCAAACCUUAGAAUACAAUCCUUGAAGCCAGGCACGACAAAAUGCCCGUCAUACUCUCAAUAAGUUUCAUAACCUCCCUCCCUGCCUCAAAGAAAACAAGUAAAAUGCGAUGCAAUGGAAAUAGAGAAAAGGACACACACCAUCUUAACGCUUGAAGCGCAUUUUCCCCGUUUAGUGUUUUGUAAAGACAUAUACCAAAUUCAGAUGAAACAAAUCAGCUUGUAGAAAGAUAGAAAACCUUGGUAUUGUAUUUGAUAUACAGUCUUGUGAACUCCUAACUGAAACGCAUGGAAAAGAUUAAAAAAUACACCACAUGUGUUCUACUUAAAGCUUAGAAAUAAAUACGCACUCUAUAUUCUCAGUGCCUGAAAUUCUUUAAAAACAAAGAACUUGGUAUAAAAUUAUAUCAAGUAAUCAUCAAAAAUGCGGGAGAUGCACCUAUAUACCUGUUAGAUUCUGGAUGCCUGCAUCCCCACUACAAAAACUUGUAAAACUAGAUGCGCUUUCAAACAUGCUGAAUAACCCAAACCAUAGCCUGGCAAGGGCACAAAUACUGACUGACCCAGGGGUACCAGUACUCCACACCAUAUCCAUCAGGAGUUUGUUCUUCUACGAAGUAUUCCCCUUGCACACUGUACCAGCCCUUACAAGCAUAGAUGUUCAGUCACUGAUAGAAAAAGCAGCCUUGCUAAUCAGGAUUUGUGGACGCCCUCCAGGCUAUGUCAUUCAAAAGGGAAAAAAAAAAAGCAUCAUCCUAAGACGAUAUAUUUACUUAGUAUUAUUAUGAUCUUUCCUCCUUGCAAUGCUGAUAAUAAACAGCAGUCUCCUGAGUGUUGCAGACUUACUGCAGAAAAAUGCCCUGCUCUAUGGAGCUACUGACUAUGGUCCAACAUACUAAAUAUCUUCUACUGCAGGACUUAACAGUUUAUAAGAAACUCGUCACCUCAGUCACAAUACUGAAGAAGAAAACUUGCAAGGAAUUCUUCCUUUGACUUCUAUAUCUGAAUUGAAUAUCCAGUAGUCUCAGCUUCUUUUACUUGUUUGUUUUCUCUGGUAAAGAACCAGGUCUGCUUUAAAGUGGAGGACCAGGCCCAGAGAUUCCUCAUGUCCUCUCAUUUGUUCUUUUUUUCUGACAAUAUCACUAAACUGAAUGAACUCAGGACCCACAUCAGCUUGGCCAAAGCUACCAAGAUAACUGAGAAUAUUUUUACCGUCUUAAAUAAACUUUAGAAACUUCACAUCACUCCUGAAAUGACAACCGGACACAAAAAUCCCUCCUGGUAGAAAUCUGUGGUUCUUAAACAACCGUAACACAAGGCUCAACCAUUAAAAGAAAUAAAAAACUAUCAACAUUUUCACAGAGAUAAAGAUUGGGGCUUUGACCCAUCAUAUUUAGAAAGGAAAGGUACCUUUACCAGUGAUGAUUUAACUUCUUAACUGAUACUAUUUCUCUUGCCAGAUGUGGCCAGUAAUAAGCACAAUAAUUAUUUGUAAAACCAGUUAAGGAGGACCUAUUUUAUUUAAAAACCUUCGUUUUUCUAAGAGCAGUCCAAAACAAACAGACAAAUCAAGAAAAAUACAGAAGAUAUUUUUCUGAUUGUGUGCUUUAGUUUUUCGGAACCUAAAAUAAUUAGCCAAAACACAUCUCCUGGUGUUGUAACAGUAAUCUGCUUCAUGACGAAUAGUCAUUUUUCUUGGGUACAUUAUCACAGCCUAAUUUUUAAGCUAAAUGUGUCCCCUUUUGUACAUCCAGUGGUCAGCACAGCUCACCGUCCCACCUUCUAUUUGCAAAGUCUUUUCCUACCCCCACUUCUUUCAGUUGUUUUCACUCAAGAACUGCUCUACAGCCCCAUUUUUUGUGUCGCACUUGCUGCAUGGAACUGCCAUGUCUUAUGAUUUACCGCACCUACAAGUACCUGCCUUCCCUAGUACUAGUUAUGAAGCUUCAGAGAUUUAUUUCCUUAUUCAUACAGUAAUCUUAACAUUUACUCAGCUGCAAUUUCUGACUG